rnacentral:rRNA from 1 species
CGAGCGGCGGGACGGGUGAGUAAUGCCUAGGAAAUUGCCCUGAUGUGGGGGAUAACCAUUGGAAACGAUNGGCUAAUACCGCAUGAUGCCUACGGGCCAAAGAGGGGGACCUUCGGGCCUCUCGCGUCAGGAUAUGCCUAGGUGGGAUUAGCUAGUUGGUGAGGUAAGGGCUCACCAAGGCGACGAUCCCUAGCUGGUCUGAGAGGAUGAUCAGCCACACUGGAACUGAGACACGGUCCAGACUCCUACGGGAGGCAGCAGUGGGGAAUAUUGCACAAUGGGCGCAAGCCUGAUGCAGCCAUGCCGCGUGUGUGAAGAAGGCCUUCGGGUUGUAAAGCACUUUCAGUCGUGAGGAAGGUAGUGUAGUUAAUAGCUGCAUUAUUUGACGUUAGCGACAGAAGAAGCACCGGCUAACUCCGUGCCAGCAGCCGCGGUAAUACGGAGGGUGCGAGCGUUAAUCGGAAUUACUGGGCGUAAAGCGCAUGCAGGUGGUUUGUUAAGUCAGAUGUGAAAGCCCGGGGCUCAACCUCGGAAUAGCAUUUGAAACUGGCAGACUAGAGUACUGUAGAGGGGGGUAGAAUUUCAGGUGUAGCGGUGAAAUGCGUAGAGAUCUGAAGGAAUACCGGUGGCGAAGGCGGCCCCCUGGACAGAUACUGACACUCAGAUGCGAAAGCGUGGGGAGCAAACAGGAUUAGAUACCCUGGUAGUCCACGCCGUAAACGAUGUCUACUUGGAGGUUGUGGCCUUGAGCCGUGGCUUUCGGAGCUAACGCGUUAAGUAGACCGCCUGGGGGAGUACGGUCGCAAGAUUAAAAACUCAAAUGAAUUGACGGGGGGCCCGCACAAGCGGUGGAGCAUGUGGUUUAAUUCGAUGCAACGCGAAGAACCUUACCUACUCUUGACAUCCAGAGAACUUUCCAGAGAUGGAUUGGUGCCUUCGGGAACUCUGAGACAGGUGCUGCAUGGCUGUCGUCAGCUCGUGUUGUGAAAUGUUGGGUUAAAGUCCCGCAACGAGCGCAACCCUUAUCCUUGUUUGCCAGCGAGUAAUGUCGGGAACUCCAGGGAGACUGCCGGUGAUAAACCGGAGGAAGGUGGGGACGACGUCAAGUCAUCAUGGCCCUUACGAGUAGGGCUACACACGUGCUACAAUGGCGCAUACAGAGGGCGGCCAACUUGCGAAAGUGAGCGAAUCCCAAAAAGUGCGUCGUAGUCCGGAUUGGAGUCUGCAACUCGACUCCAUGAAGUCGGAAUCGCUAG